GGCUGGUCCAAGCACAGUGGUGUUUACAAUGAAUUGAUCACAGCCAGGUAUAAUUCUUUGUUUUUUCUCCAAUCCCACUGCUUUGCUUGACCAGCCUUAA
rnacentral:Y_RNA from 1 species